GGCGUCACAAACCACGAGGAGGAGCAGCGUGUUCUCUCCUGAGCGUGAAGCGGGCGUGCGGUGCUGCUUGCGCAGGAGCCGCUCGUCAUUGGUGACCGUUCCCGUCCCACGUGUUGGGUCUGGGAGGGAGAGAACACAGGCUGAGUGGU
rnacentral:snoRNA from 1 species